GACUCUGUGGCACAAAGGAUAGUGCAUUGGACUUCUAAUAGAGCACUURAAGAAGUGAUUCAAAGGUUGUGGGUUCGAGUCCCACCAGAGUCA
rnacentral:tRNA from 1 species